GCUGCUUGGAUUAUCAUAAGCAUGUGGAAAUUCAGAACACUCAAGCAUUCUAUCACUAAAGGAAAAAAGUUAGUAUUUAUAAUAAAAAUUUUUAUUUUAUUUAGUGCUAAUGAACUUACUGAUAAUCUGUAGAUACAAAAUAUGUUGGUUCUGGUGGUCUAUAAUAUUCUGAUGGAACAACUGUAUAUACUGGAGGUCCAUAAUCUGGAAAAGGAGCAACAUUGCCCAUAUAUAUUGGCUUGGUGUUGGUGCAUUAGAGCUUGUAUUGCUUGCAUAAUGUUGUGGUGAAUCAGUAAAUCUUAGAGGUUUAUCAGGUAUCACACUAGGUGGAAGACCAGGUGCUAUACCACCCAUGUUGCUUAAAAAUGGUCUGUAAUAAUGUUUUAUUUUUAAUAUGUAUAUUAUACAUUUUA